UACGUAGGGACCGAGCGUUGUCCGGAAUCAUUGGGCGUAAAGAGCGUGUAGGCGGCCACUUAAGUCCUGCGUGAAAUCUUGCGGCUCAACCGCAAGCGGUCGUGGGAAACUGGGUGGCUAGAGUGCGGGAGAGGCGAGUGGAAUUCCCGGUGUAGCGGUGAAAUGCGCAGAUAUCGGGAGGAACACCAAUGGCGAAGGCAGCUCGCUGGGACGGUACUGACGCUGAGACGCGAAAGCGUGGGGAGCAAACAGG
rnacentral:rRNA from 1 species